AAAAUUUGGACCGUCGGUCUACCAAGAAAUUUUACCCGCUCGGUGGAAGAUCUUCUCUUGUCGU
rnacentral:pre_miRNA from 1 species